AUCUCCGCGUGGUGGACUGCCUGAGUUCCAGUCCCAGCUCUGUCACUUCAGGACCUUGGGUAUCCAAUCCAUCCAGGACGCUGAUUAGGCCUUCAGUGCCCCAGGCCACCCCACCAGAGUGCCAUCCCCACCCGGCAGGGCUGCAAGCAGAGGACCACAGGACCAUACGGCAGAGCUGAAAUGUCACUCUGAGGUCACGCUCUUUCCCAUUGUGCGAGGAUGACUCAGGCACCUGCACAGCCCACACAAGCAUCUGGGGACAUGGGAAGCAGCAGGCAGAGGUGCGAGGGACGACUCGGCAGGGCUGUAACAUGUAGAAGUGAAUGGGCUCCGGAUGCACUGGUUCUGGGGUUAGCAGGUGCUGUGUGACCUUGCAUGAAUGACUCAGCCUCUCUGAACCUGGAAGGAAGCAAGAUAACAGGUGCUCCACGCACAGGGCUGUUGUGAGACUUCAAGGAGCUAAUACCAGCACACCCAGAAGCAGGAGAAGCUGGAGCACUGAAGUGCCCGCAGGAAAUGGGAACUCCUCCUCAGGACUGUGGACUCCACGUUCAGGGUGAGGGGCCUGAUGCAGAUCCUGCUGCUGACCCAGCCUUUCCCUGGUCCUGCCCCAGCCCUAGC